AAGCACACGAGACCUGAUCUGGUUUUGAACAUUUGGAAGAACCUGUGUUGCCUUCCAGUUAAAUAGACGUCUUACACAAUGUUAUCUGUCAACCACUGGAGGAGACAUCUUCAGAUUUUAUCAACAAAGUGUCUUCAGACCUAAACACCCUGGCACAGUUGUUAUCCUUGGCAGGGUGUUGACUGGGCAAUGGAAAACAAGCCGAGACACCCCAGCAGGGCGGCUAUGGAGAAGAAAU